GAGGUUCAAAAAGAGGUCUUACUGCCUGGGAACAGCACCCGAGCAAAACUGAGGAACCAUUCCUUCUUGUCUUUCUUUUGAGAACAGC